GACGAACGCUGGCGGCGUGCCUAAUACAUGCAAGUUGAGCGCUGAAGGUUGGUACUUGUACCAACUGGAUGAGCAGCGAACGGGUGAGUAACGCGUGGGGAAUCUGCCUUUGAGCGGGGGACAACAUUUGGAAACGAAUGCUAAUACCGCAUAAAAACUUUAAACACAAGUUUUAAGUUUGAAAGAUGCAAUUGCAUCACUCAAAGAUGAUCCCGCGUUGUAUUAGCUAGUUGGUGAGGUAAAGGCUCACCAAGGCGAUGAUACAUAGCCGACCUGAGAGGGUGAUCGGCCACAUUGGGACUGAGACACGGCCCAAACUCCUACGGGAGGCAGCAGUAGGGAAUCUUCGGCAAUGGACGAAAGUCUGACCGAGCAACGCCGCGUGAGUGAGGAAGGUUUUCGAAUCGUAAAACUCUGUUGGUAGAGAAGGACGUUGGUGAGAGUGGAAAGCUCAUCAAGUGACGGUAACUACCCAGAAAGGGACGGCUAACUACGUG
rnacentral:rRNA from 1 species